CACUUCUAAGGAAGGCAGCAGGCGCGCAAAUUACCCAAUCCUGACUCAGGGAGGUAGUGACAAGAAAUAACAAUAAACCGGCUUAUGCCGGUUUAAUUGGAAUGAGUACAAUUUAAACAUCUUAACGAGGAACAAUUGGAGGGCAAGUCUGGUGCCAGCAGCCGCGGUAAUUCCAGCUCCAAUAGCGUAUACUAAAGUUGUUGCAGUUAAAAAGCUCGUAGUUGGAUUUCUGUGGGGACGGAGCGGCCGGCCGCACAUCGCGGUUCGAGCUAGCGCUUUCCCUACAUCCUGCCGCGAACCGUGCUACCAUUAGUUUGGUGGCGCCGGGGAUCGGCUCGAUUACUUUGAGAAAAAUAGAGUGUUCAAAGCAGGCCACAUGCCUUGAAUAAGUUAGCAUGGAAUAAUAACUAAGGACUUCGGUUCUAUUUUGUUGGUGUUCGGGACUGAAGUAAUGAUUGAUAGGGACAGUUGGGGCGGUCUGUAUUCCAAAGCGAGAGGUGAAAUUCUUAGACCUUCGGAAGACAAACAGCUGCGAAAGCGUUCCGCAAGGAUGUUCCCUUUGAUCAAGAACGAAAGUUGGGGGAUCGAAGACGAUCAGAUACCGUCGUAGUCUCAACUAUAAACUAUACCAGCUAGGGAUCGGCCAACGUUAUUCUAUACCGACUUGGUCGGCACCUUAUGAGAAAUCAAAGCAUCUGGGUUCCGGGGGGAGUAUGGUCGCAAGGCUGAAACUUAAAGGAAUUGACGGAAGGGCACCACCAGCCGUGGAGCCUGUGGCUUAAUUUGACUCAACACGGGAAAACUUACCAGGUCCAGACAUAGUAAGGAUUGACAGAUUGAUAGCUCUUUCUUGAUUCUGUGGGUGGUGGUGCAUGGCCGUUCUUAGUUGGUGGAGUGAUUUGUCUGGUUAAUUCCGUUAACGAACGAGACCCCAGCCUGCUAAAUAGCGCGCGUGAGCUUUGCUCGCGGCGAGCUUCUUAGAGGGACUCUGAUGCGCGAUAGCACAUGGAAGUUUGGGGCAAUAACAGGUCUGUGAUGCCCUUAGAUGUUCUGGGCCGCACACGGGCUACACUGGCGCCUGCAACGAGCAUAUCAGCUGGCCCGAGAGGGUCUUGGCUAAUCUUUUGAACCGGCGCCGUGCUUGGGAUUGACCUUUGCAAUUGUUGGUCAUGCAACGAGGAAUGCCUUGUAAACGCGAGUCAUCAGCUCGCAUUGAAUACGUCCCUGCCCUUUGUACACACCGCCCGUCGCUCCUACCGAUGAAUGUUCCGAUGAAAUUUUCGGAGAGCACCUGUGAACUUGGCUCUGCCUUGCGAACGGGAGGCUCAAAGUCACUUAAAUCUGAACAUUUCGAGG
rnacentral:rRNA from 1 species